rnacentral:rRNA from 1 species
CGUAAGCGCGCGUAGGCGGCUAAUUAAGUCAAAUGUGAAAUCCCCGAGCUUAACUUGGGAAUUGCAUUCGAUACUGGUUAGCUAGAGUGUGGGAGAGGAUGGUAGAAUUCCAGGUGUAGCGGUGAAAUGCGUAGAGAUCUGGAGGAAUACCGAUGGCGAAGGCAGCCAUCUGGCCUAACACUGACGCUGAGGUGCGAAAGCAUGGGGAGCAAACAGGAUUAGAUACCCUGGUAGUCCAUGCCGUAAACGAUGUCUACUAGCCGUUGGGGCCUUUGAGGCUUUAGUGGCGCAGCUAACGCGAUAAGUAGACCGCCUGGGGAGUACGGUCGCAAGACUAAAACUCAAAUGAAUUGACGGGGGCCCGCACAAGCGGUGGAGCAUGUGGUUUAAUUCGAUGCAACGCGAAGAACCUUACCUGGCCUUGACAUAGUAAGAACUUUCCAGAGAUGGAUUGGUGCCUUCGGGAACUUACAUACAGGUGCUGCAUGGCUGUCGUCAGCUCGUGUCGUGAGAUGUUGGGUUAAGUCCCGCAACGAGCGCAACCCUUUUCCUUAUUUGCCAGCGAGUAAUGUCGGGAACUUUAAGGAUACUGCCAGUGACAAACUGGAGGAAGGCGGGGACGACGUCUAGUCAUCAUGGCCCUUACGGCCAGGGCUA